rnacentral:tRNA from 1 species
CAAUUUAAAUUCUUUUAGUAAGAAUUUUCAUUUACAUUGAAAAUAAAAUCGUGCAAUUCGGUUUAAAUUGA